CCGGUCAUGGGCGCAGCCUGAUGCAGCCAUGCCGCGUGUGUGAAGAAGGCCUUCGGGUUGUAAAGCACUUUCAGUAGGAGGAAAGGUUAGUAGUUAAUACCUGCUAGCUGUGACGUUACUGACAGAAGAAGCACCGGCUAACUCCGUGCCAGCAGCCGCGGUAAUACGGAGGGUGCGAGCGUUAAUCGGAAUUACCGCCGCGUAAAGCGUACGCAGGCGGUUUGUUAAGCGAGAUGUGAAAGCCCCGGGCUCAACCUGGGAACUGCAUUUCGAACUGGCAAACUAGAGUGUGAUAGAGGGUGGUAGAAUUUCAGGUGUAGCGGUGAAAUGCGUAGAGAUCUGAAGGAAUACCGAUGGCGAAGGCAGCCACCUGGGUCAACACUGACGCUCAUGUACGAAAGCGUGGGGAGCAAACGGGAUUAGAUACCCCGGUAGUCCACGCCGUAAACGAUGUCUACUAGAAGCUCGGAGCCUCGGUUCUGUUUUUCAAAGCUAACGCAUUAAGUAGACCGCCUGGGGAGUACGGCCGCAAGGUUAAAACUCAAAUGAAUUGACGGGGGCCCGCACAAGCGGUGGAGCAUGUGGUUUAAUUCGAUGCAACGCGAAGAACCUUACCUACACUUGACAUACAGAGAACUUACCAGAGAUGGUUUGGUGCCUUCGGGAACUCUGAUACAGGUGCUGCAUGGCUGUCGUCAGCUCGUGUUGUGAGAUGUUGGGUUAAGUCCCGCAACGAGCGCAACCCCUAUCCUUAGUUGCUAGCAGGUAAUGCUGAGAACUCUAAGGAGACUGCCGGUGAUAAACCGGAGGAAGGUGGGG
rnacentral:rRNA from 1 species